GCCGAUUGCCGAACCGACGGACGCGGACGAAUGGAUUGAUUCCUGGCUCCCUGUCCCCACCCCUCACCCCGCGUCUCCAUGAUUCUGCCAGGAGUAUCAGCUGCUCCUCUGUCAAUUCUGGAAAAGUGAGGAAUAUUGUCAGUUUCAGGAAGGGGUUCCAUUCUGUGAAAUGCAAGGCCAAAGCAGAGACCUGGCAAAGAUUUCGAGGAUUUUCAGUUAGCAGCUGUAAGUUGCCUCACUGUUCUCAAAAUAAUUACUUGUCUUCCUCUACGGCUAUCUCCCUUAAAUAUUCUCAAAGUGCUCUGUUUAGGGAUCAGAGAAUCUAAGAGCUCAUUUUUGGGGGGGAGGAUUAUGUCCACAUCUGGCAAAGGAGCUGUGCAGGAUCAAUAUACAUAUGGAAGAUAACUGUUGUCACAGUCUGGCAUCUCCAGCAUCUGUCCUGAAGAUUGCAGGGCUGUUUGAGAUGAGUGGGAGUCCUACAGUUUGAGCACUGCCCACUGAUAAUCCUUAAUCCUACCUGUAGGAUGCCUCUGCCUAGCCCAAACACUCUGAAUUUAUAAAAGUAACCCAUUUAGUUGUCUUAUGUAGUUGUGACAAUACAUGGAAAAGAAUAUUUGCAAAUCAUUGAACCAAUGUUUUCUGUUAUAAUCAGAAAACUGUAAGAAAAAGUGUAAAAGCUUAUGGAUAGCUAAGGUCCAGGCUGCACAUUCAUCAGGUUGGAGCUUGCAAAGGCUGAAUUCCUUGAGCAUCCCAACUAGAAAAUGAUAAGCAAAUACCACCACAUCUCAAAUUUUGGGGGGCAGGUAUGAGCUUUCAACCAGCUUUAGUUCUGGCGUCUGUCUUAAGGAUGAUCUGUCCUUCCAUCCUUACCUUCAGCUGCUCCUGGGCUGAAAUGUUCUCCAUUCAAGUCAAAUACUUGAUUCUGAUAUUUUGAGAGGGAUAAUGCUUACCAUCUAGAGCAUAAAGGAAGUAGAGGACUGCCUCAACAAGGUCAGUGAAAACGGCCCCACUGGAAUCUUGUAAAUUCUCCACCAAGUCUCGCAGCUCUGGCUUGCCAGCCUUCAGCUUGAAUUGACCGGUGCCUUCAAGAGCCUCUUCCAUCUGAGAGUUUAGGUUACAGCAAAAGAUGUUAAUGCCAAAUGGUGGGUAUAUUAACAUAUGACCUGAGAUUUGGCUAUGCGUAGCACAUAUGCGAAAGUAGGGCUUGGUAGGUGAUAGGUAUCACUUUAUUUGUAAAUGGCUGUGAACAUCAAGACUCUGGACCAUUUGGUCAUUUUUAUUUAGAUGUGGCACAAUCCACAAAGCCUAGAAACAUUAGGAAAAAGCAUGACUCUUUUGGGCAGGGAGUAUUGCAGUGGGGGAGCUGAGGGCCUAAUGAUAGACUGGACUGUUGCUAAUAAGUAAAGUUUUGACAUCGGGUAACUACAGUAGGUAA